GACGUAGGGCGCGAGCGUUGUCCGGAUUUAUUGGGCGUAAAGAGCUCGUAGGCGGCUUGUCGCGUCGGCUGUGAAAACCCGCGGCUCAACUAUGGGCGGGCAGCUGAUACGGGCAGGCUGGAGUUCGGUAGGGGAGACUGGAAUUCCUGGUGUAGCGGUGAAAUGCGCAGAUAUCAGGAAGAACACCAAUGGCGAAAGCAGCUCUCUGGGACGGUACUGACGCUGAGGCGCGAAAGCGUGGGGAGCGAACAGG
rnacentral:rRNA from 1 species